rnacentral:lncRNA from 1 species
UUUCUAUUUUGGGGCAGAUUCCAAUUUUUGUAGCACCUUCAUUAUUGAUGAAUUGCUUGUACUUUUGUCCAUUAAGAAACCUGGGACUUUGGCUUGUUGUUGGAUCUAUUAUAAUAUGUUUGGGAACAUAUAUAAGUGAAUAAAUAAGGAGGAAGAUUUUGGGCCCUUGUGGGUGUAAAACAAAAAAUGUUUAUGUUUACCCAAGUGUUUUUGUACAAGUUCAAGGG